rnacentral:rRNA from 1 species
GUAGUCCACGCUGUAAACGAUGAUCACUAGACGUUGGAUCUGCUCUGCAGAUUCAGUGUCGAAGCUAACGCGAUAAGUGAUCCGCCUGGGGAGUACGGUCGCAAGAUUAAAACUCAAAGAAAUUGACGGGGGUCCGCACAAGCGGUGGAACAUGUGGUUUAAUUCGACACUACGCGAGGAACCUUACCUAGGCUUGACAUGUAUUUGACAGCUCUAGAGAUAGAGUCUUUCAGGGGUAACCCUGAACAGAUACACAGGUGCUGCAUGGCUGUCGUCAGCUCGUGUCGUGAGAUGUUGGGUUAAGUCCUUUAACGAGCGCAACUCCUGCUAUCAGUUGCUACCCUUUGGGCACUCUGAUGGGACUGCCUGGGAAACCAGGAGGAAGGCGGGAAUGACGUCAAGUCCGCAUGGCCCUUAUGCCUAGGGCGACACACGUGUUACAAUGGCUAGCACAAAGAGCAGCAAGCUUGUAAAAGUGAGCGAAUCUCAAAAAACUAGUCUAAGUUCGGAUUGAGGUCUGCAACUCGACCUCAUGAAGUUGAAAUCGCUAGUAAUCGCAUAUCAGAACGAUGCGGUGAAUACGUUCUCGGACCUUGUACACACCGCCCGUCACACCACGAAAGCUGUUUGUACCCGAAAUCAUUUUAGCUAACCCGAAAGGGAGGCGGAUGCUGAAGGUAUGAAGAGUGAUUGGGGUG